AGUUUGAUCCUGGCUCAGAUUGAACGCUGGCGGCAUGCCUUACACAUGCAAGUCGAACGGCAGCACGGGAGCAAUCCUGGUGGCGAGUGGCGAACGGGUGAGUAAUAUAUCGGAACGUGCCCAGUCGUGGGGGAUAACGCAGCGAAAGCUGUGCUAAUACCGCAUACGAUCUCUGGAUGAAAGCGGGGGACCUGUAAGGGCCUCGCGCGAUUGGAGCGGCCGAUAUCAGAUUAGCUAGUUGGUGGGGUAAAAGCCCACCAAGGCGACGAUCUGUAGCUGGUCUGAGAGGACGACCAGCCACACUGGAACUGAGACACGGUCCAGACUCCUACGGGAGGCAGCAGUGGGGAAUUUUGGACAAUGGGCGCAAGCCUGAUCCAGCAAUGCCGCGUGCAGGAUGAAGGCCUUCGGGUUGUAAACUGCUUUUGUACGGAACGAAAAGACUCCUUCUAAUAAAGGGGGUCCAUGACGGUACCGUAAGAAUAAGCACCGGCUAACUACGUGCCAGCAGCCGCGGUAAUACGUAGGGUGCAAGCGUUAAUCGGAAUUACUGGGCGUAAAGCGUGCGCAGGCGGUUAUAUAAGACAGAUGUGAAAUCCCCGGGCUCAACCUGGGAACUGCAUUUGUGACUGUAUAGCUAGAGUACGGCAGAGGGGGAUGGAAUUCCGCGUGUAGCAGUGAAAUGCGUAGAUAUGCGGAGGAACACCGAUGGCGAAGGCAAUCCCCUGGGCCUGUACUGACGCUCAUGCACGAAAGCGUGGGGAGCAAACAGGAUUAGAUACCCUGGUAGUCCACGCCCUAAACGAUGUCAACUGGUUGUUGGGAAUUCACUUUCUCAGUAACGAAGCUAACGCGUGAAGUUGACCGCCUGGGGAGUACGGCCGCAAGGUUGAAACUCAAAGGAAUUGACGGGACCCGCACAAGCGGUGGAUGAUGUGGUUUAAUUCGAUGCAACGCGAAAACCUUACCCCACCUUUGACAUGUACGGAAUCCUUUAGAGAUAGAGGAGUGCUCGAAAGAGAGCCGUAACACAGUGCUGCAUGCUGUCGUCAGCUCGUGUCGUGAGAUGUGGGUAAGUUCCCGCACGAGCGCCACCCUGUCAUAGUGCUAACAUCAGUGGCACUCUAUGAGACUGCGUGACAACGGAGAGUGUAUGACGUCAGGCUCUCAUGCUAUAGGUGCCUAACCACACGUCAUAUACAAAUUG
rnacentral:rRNA from 1 species